rnacentral:piRNA from 1 species
UGGUUUCUUUCUACAUGUUGAUCACAGC